UACGAAGGGUGCAAGCGUUACUCGGAAUUACUGGGCGUAAAGCGUGCGUAGGUGGUUCGUUAAGUCAGACGUGAAAUCCCUCGGCUUAACCGGGGAACUGCGUCUGAUACUGGAUGGCUUGAGUUUGGGAGAGGGAUGCGGAAUUCCAGGUGUAGCGGUGAAAUGCGUAGAUAUCUGGAGGAACACCGGUGGCGAAGGCGGCAUCCUGGACCAACACUGACGCUGAGUGAGCGAAAGCCAGGGGAGCAAACGGG
rnacentral:rRNA from 1 species